rnacentral:rRNA from 1 species
GGCUUAUUGUAUAAAAUUUUAAGUUUGACCUGCCCAAUGAUAAAAAUUUAAUGGCCGCGGUAUUUUGACCGUGCAAAGGUAGCAUAAUCAUUAGUUUUUUAAUUGAAAGCUUGUAUGAAAGGUUUAAUGAAAAAAUAUCUGUCUCUGUUUAAAUUGUAAAGAAAUUUAUUUUUAAGUAAAAAAGCUUAAAUAUGUAUAGAAGACGAGAAGACCCUAUAGAGUUUUAUAAUUUUAGUUAAAUAUAAAAGAUUUUAGAAUUUAUAGUUUAUAUAUAUAAAAUUAUUUUGUUGGGGUGAUUUAAAAAUUAAAUAAACUUUUUUUGUAGAGAAACAUUAAUUUAUGAGUUUUUGAUCCUUAUGAAAGAUUAAAAGAAAAAAUUACCUUAGGGAUAACAGCGUUAUUUUUUUUAGAGUUCUAAUUGAAAGAAAAGUUUGCGACCUCGAUGUUGGAUUAAAAGGAAUUGUUGGUGUAGAAGCUAAUAAAUUAGGUCUGUUCGACCUUUAAAAUUUUACAUGAUCUGAGUUUAAACCGGUGUGAG